AACGAACGCUGGCGGCAUGCCUAACACAUGCAAGUCGAACGAGACCUUCGGGUCUAGUGGCGCACGGGUGCGUAACGCGUGGGAACCUGCCCCUAGGUUCGGAAUAACUCCCCGGAAGGGGUGCUAAUACCGGAUAAUGUCUUCGGACCAAAGAUUUAUCGCCUUUGGAUGGGCCCGCGUUGGAUUAGCUAGUUGGUAGGGUAAACGCCUACCAAGGCGACGAUCCAUAGCUGGUCUGAGAGGAUGAUCAGCCACACUGGGACUGAGACACGGCCCAGACUCCUACGGGAGGCAGCAGUGGGGAAUAUUGGACAAUGGGCGAAAGCAUGAUCCAGCAAUGCCGCGUGAGUGAUGAAGGCCUUAGGGUUGUAAAGCUCUUUUACCCGGGAUGAUAAUGACAGUACCGGGAGAAUAAGCUCCGGCUAACUCCGUG
rnacentral:rRNA from 1 species